AUAAGCCAGCUUGACUGCGAGCGUGACGGCGCGAGCAGGUGCGAAAGCAGGUCAUAGUGAUCCGGUGGUUCUGAAUGGAAGGGCCAUCGCUCAACGGAUAAAAGGUACUCCGGGGAUAACAGGCUGAUACCGCCCAAGAGUUCAUAUCGACGGCGGUGUUUGGCACCUCGAUGUCGGCUCAUCACAUCCUGGGGCUGAAGUAGGUCCCAAGGGUAUGGCUGUUCGCCAUUUAAAGUGGUACGCGAGCUGGGUUUAGAACGUCGUGAGACAGUUCGGUCCCUAUCUGCCGUGGGCGCUGGAGAACUGAGGGGGGCUGCUCCUAGUACGAGAGGACCGGAGUGGACGCAUCACUGGUGUUCGGGUUGUCAUGCCAAUGGCACUGCCCGGUAGCUAAAUGCGGAAGAGAUAAGUGCUGAAAGCAUCUAAGCACGAAACUUGCCCCGAGAUGAGUUCUCCCUGAGACUUAAAGUCUCCUGAAGGAACGUUGAAGACGACGACGUUGAUAGGCCGGGUGUGUAAGCGCAGCGAUGCGUUGAGCUAACCGGUACUAAUGAACCGUGAGGCUUAACCUUACAACGCCGAAG
rnacentral:rRNA from 1 species